rnacentral:rRNA from 1 species
CGAAAACAGGGAUUGCCCCAGUAGCGGCGACUGAAGCGGCAAAAGCUCAGAUUUGGAAUCGCUUCGGCGAGUUGUGAAUUGCAGGUUGGCGCCUCUGCGGCGGCGGCGGUCCAAGUCCCUUGGAACAGGGCGCCAUUGAGGGUAGAGAGCCCCGUGGGACCGUUUGCCUAUGCUCUGAGGCCCUUCUGACGAGUCGAGUUGUUUGGGAAUGCAGCUCUAAGCGGGUGGUAAAUUCCAUCUAAGGCUAAAUACUGGCGAGAGACCGAUAGCGAACAAGUACUGUGAAGGAAAAAUGAAAAGCCCUUUUGAAAAAAAAAGUGGAAACCCCCCCCUGGAAAAUUUUUGAAAGGGAAGGG